rnacentral:rRNA from 1 species
UACGGGGGGGGCAAGCGUUGUUCGGAAUUACUGGGCGUAAAGGGCUCGUAGGCGGCCAACUAAGUCAGACGUGAAAUCCCUCGGCUUAACCGGGGAACUGCGUCUGAUACUGGAUGGCUUGAAUCCGGGAGAGGGAUGCGGAAUUCCAGGUGUAGCGGUGAAAUGCGCAGAUAUCGGGAGGAACACCAAUGGCGAAGGCAGCUCGCUGGGACGUGACUGACGCUGAGACGCGAAAGCGUGGGGAGCAAACAGGG